rnacentral:lncRNA from 1 species
ACCAUGAUGGACACUCUGCACUCUGGAAGAGUCCCAAGCCCACCACUCACAACCUGGCCACAAUUAAGUGACUGGCCACCACUAACUGACCAUAAGGAUAGCCCACCCUGCCAGUUUCAGGGUACCCACGCCAUCCCUCACUCCCAAGACUAAUCACCAUCAGGUUCUCUCCUACCUUGUCUUCUCCUCAAAUUUCCCAAAUCUUCUCCCCAUCCUUCUUCUCUGCAGUGACCUCACUUCUGAUUUCACUGUUAAAGCAAUAUGAAGAGAAUUCCAUGGGCUCCCAUCACAUCCAAUCCCCAUCCUGCACUUGGGCUCAGCCCCUCCUCUCCAUCCUGUGUCUGUGCUCUUUCCAUACCCCUCGGGCCGGCCAACCCCUCAACGAUGCGUGUGCUCCAUCCCAUUCUCAUUUAUCCAAGAGUACCACUAGCUUUUCUCCCCUUUCCCUGGCAUCAUCAAUGAAUCAUUCUGAGUUUUCCCAUUAACAUGCAAAAUACUAUUAUUUCUCCCACUGCAAAAUAAAACAAACCUCAUGAUCCCUUUUGACCCUUCAGCUCAUGCCCAUUUCUCUCCUCCCCAAUUAGUCAUCAAACGCAUUGCCUUCAAUGCUCCUGCUUGCUCUUAGGCCUACUGUAAUCCCGCUUCUGCUCCUAUAACCUCACACACACAAAAAAACUGUACUUACUACUGUCACCUAUAUGUCCUAUCACAUUGCCCAAAUCUUUGGGGAUCAACCUUACCAAUAAAUAAGCCAUUUGUGUGACUGGAGAAUCAUGGGAAGAAUCCAUCACCCACCUUGAUAAACUGAAAAUCACAUCUUUGGACCCUCCUCUGCACCUAUGAUGCAAGAGUCUUCUUCUACUGCAAUUUCCUGAACAAACAUAUUACACAGAUUAGCAGGUAUAUAGGUCAAUGAAUAACAGAAAAUUGAAUUUACUCCACUCCAUGUCUCUUCGUGCAAAUAUACAAUGAAGGGAUUGGUGGGGCAUGUCAGUCAGCCUACAUACUGGCAAGUAAACGUCUUCCUGCCAUAUGGGGCUGUUAUCAGAAAAGCAACAUUAAUUUAUUUGAACAGAUUUGUGUCACUGUCCCUCUUGGGGUAAAGGACCAGAAAAAAAAACACUGCUUUUGUUCAAAAAUAUUCCCCUCCUCUGGCCAGGCCUAUAGCAGACCUCAGGGCUAAGUAUUCAUCUUGAAGGGUUAAAGCUCUGCUAUCGAUAAGAUGAUCAGUUACCCAGCCAACACAUUAACAGAGAUUCCUUAAGGUAAUUAAUAAGCAGUAGACAUCCAUUAAUUCUUAUCAGAGAGUGGGGCCCAGAGGAGGGAAAAGGAGUCCAGGAUCGAGGAAUAACUCUAGUGGGAUGAGGCCACGGUGAGAAUGGAGGGGGAGUGGUCCCUCGGAAAUGUGAAGGAAAAACACAGAAAGCAGCAGUAGGAUCUGAUGCUCUCAGCUUUCUUCACACUUUGGACCAAGAAUCAUCCUGCCUUUAAUACGUUUGAUCUUUCAUUUUUGCCUCUCAAGGCUAUCAUCAUAUUUUUAAGCUCCAAUAAGACUAAGUUCUAAUAGAAAUUAUAGCCCCCAGAACCCGUGGAGUACUUUUAAAAAAUAAUAAUAAAGUAACAAAAAGGAGGUUCUAUUUGUUCACUCAGAUUGGCUUCCGAUCUUUCUUUCCCCUUUUAAAUAUGCAUUGCUUAAAUUUUAAGUGUGUCCAUCCUCCUCUCUUUCGGUCUUUGAAUCUAGCAUCCUUUUCUUUUUCUUUUUUUGCUUUUUAGGGCCAUGCCUACAGAAUAUGGAAGUUCCCAGGCUAGGGGUAAACUAGAGAUGAAGCUGCUGGCAUACGGCACAGCAGGCCAAAUCCCUGCCAUGUCUGCCACCUACACCAUAGCUCAUGGCAAUGCCGGAUCCUUAACCCACUGAGCAGGGCCGGGGAUGGAACCUGAAACCUCAUGGAUACUAGUCGGGUUCAUUACUUCUGAGCCACAACAGGAACUCUCAGCAUCCAUUUAUUUUGCUCAAACGUUUCCUUUCUUUACAUGGUGAUGAAAAUUCUCCACCUUCAACUUUUUCUUCUUCUCUAGUUUAACAUUUCCCAUUCAUAUGUACGUUUUUUUUGUUUGUUUGUUUGUUUUUUCUUUUCCCCAAAUUAUCAUUGCUGGGUAAGAAAUUCUUUUGGUGUUUUUUUGUUUGUUUUGUUGUUGUUUUGUUUUAGGGGGGUUUUUUUGGCCACACCCAUGGGACGUGGAAGUUCCAGGGCCAGGGAUCAAACCCGAACCACAGCAGUGACCAACGAUGCCCACUGCAACGACAACACCAGAUCCUUAACCCACUGAGCCACAAGAGAACUCCAGACAAAUGGUUUUAACAGUCAAUGUAUUUUUUUUUUUUUUUUUUUUUUUUUUUUUGUCUUUUUGCCUUUUCUAGGGCUGCAUCCGCGGCAUAUGGAGGUUCCCAGGCUAGGGCGCGAAUCAGAGCUGCAGCCACCAGCCUACACCAGAGCCACAGCAACUCCAGAUCCGAGCCUCGUCUGCGACCUACACCACAGCUCACAGCAAUGCCGGAUCCUUAACCCACUGAGCAAGGCCAGGGAUCAAACCCGCAACCUCAUGGUUCCCAGUUGGAUUCGUUAACCACUGCGCCGCGACAGGAACUCCUAGUCAACAUGAUUCCUAAAAAAAUUAGGUGGAGAAACUAGAGCCAACCCUGGAACAGGACAGAGACUUAUCUUCUCAGGGAUUGCACUUCCCGGGGAAGUGGAAGGGAGAGGAAGGGAAGGGAAGAGAGGGGAAGGGAAGUGCCCACGGUAUUACAGGCCACUUCCUCCUCAUAGGCCUCUCUACUAGUGGGGUCUACAGCGCCCUCUGCUGUUCAGGAUCUCCCCUGCACCACACCAAGGAGUAACCCACACCUACUCCCCGACUCCUGUCUCUUUACAACUCAUCAAACAAACACGGUCCAGCUGGCUUUCUUCUACCUUCCAAGUUUCCACUAUGGGGAGGGCUCCCCACCCAGGAAAUAGCAAGAAAACUGUGCUCAGGCAUGUCUUCCUCUAAGCCCAAAGUCUUGAUUGAUUGAGUCUUUUCCAGACCAUUUCUAGGUUCCUGGCCUCUUUUUGUUACUUACAUGGCAGUUAAUUCACAUAACCAAAAGCAAGACAAGAACCACAUCCUAUUAGUUUCAUUUUAGUUCACUCUGUUAAGCUUAUUUUAAGAAUGGCCUGUUAUACAUUCCAAACAAUCUUGGCUUUGGCCAAGGCCAAGUUCCAAUAAACACACGGCCUGGACUCCGUUACCAGCCUGGGGAUGAGAUGGAUGCAUGUGCUCGAACAUGAGCCCUGGCAUGGGUUCUGCUCAGGGGAGUCUGAGGAGUUCGUGGAGUUUGGCGAACAGUUUCGCCUUUCAUAAAAAGCUGAGAUGGUUGUUUCCAUGUAUAAAACUACAACUGUAGAAACAAAAUGCGGUUUUCCGAAACGCCAUUUCUCUCAUUUUCCAACAUGCUCUUAAAUUAAACCAUCAUGGCUCAUCGAUCAGAACUGCUCUGCCUGCUUAUUCCUACAAUGGUAACUAUAUAUUGCUACACUAAUAGAACCUAAAACCAUGGUGUAUUCUCAUUGGUACAAAAGCAGCUUUCCUCGUUGUGUGAAUUUUACCUCCAUAAUACGUCUCUGUGCACCAAAUUGAUUAGAUUUCUUGUAAAAGACUAGCUGCCGUUGCAAAUCCAAAAUAAUAGAUGGUUGACAUGUGACACUAAUAGUAGCCAAUAAAAGAGCUACAGGAAAAUUUUCCCCAAUGCUUUGUAAAUUGAUUAUCUAUAAUACCCUAUGAUAAAUUGACCCAGAAUGUCAUCUGAUGGCUAUUUACUUAGGCAGAAAUUCAGUCUGGGGAAUUUGAGAAACAGAAACUCCAGCACUGCAAUGACGACGGUAAUACAUUUUACAGCCUUCUAGAACAGCUGAUAUCAAGUGUGGUUUACUAAGCUUUGUCUUUGGCCAUCUGUCCUAAAACAAGACUUCUACUAAUAUCAGUUUGGUCAAGAGACAAAGCUCUUUUGAGUAAGCAAUUUGAUAGGUUCUCUAGCAGCACCUCAAAAAAAAAAAAAAAAAAAUCAACUUACCAAUUGCCCUAUUGCAGUAAAGGACUUGCAUUAGCCCAGGCUUCCAAGGUCAAAAUGAGUUAUCUUCAAGUUGUCCUUCUCAGGUAACUCACUGUUUAGUUAUCUAAGACCAGUUCUUUCCUCUCAUUGUCUCUCUCACACAGCACUUUCUUUGAAGUCUCAAAGAAAGUGCAAAUCCAAAAUAAUAGAUGGAAAAUUCUAGUCAUUAUUCCUCAUUCUCAGUACUGCAGCCCGCCUUCCCUUGGCCUGUCCACUCCUAGGCUUCCCCUCCGUUCUGCCCUAUGAACCCCACGUGAAGCCUCUGUGACAGUCACUCCCCUAUUCCUAACUCUUCGGUGAGUCCCUCUUGCCAAGAAUAGACAUUUGCCUAUUGGUUUUCCACUACGCCAUCCAUAUACAUGUGCCAUCUAAGCUGGAGCAUAGACAGGUAGUCUGACUUGAGCAUCCAGUUCUUUGCACACCAUCUUCUCUCUGUGGCCCCAGCCAGGACUGGGUCCUCGCCCUGUGCAUUCCUAUUUUGUUUUAAUCACUUGAAACACAUCACUCUCUAUAUAUCAAAAAUAUUUAGGCGUUCCCACUGUGGCACAGCAGGUUAAGGAUCCGGCAUGGUCCUUGCAGUGGUGCAGGUUUCAUCCCUGGCCCAGGAACUUCCAUAUGCCA